GUGUGUGUGUGUGUGUGUGUGUGUGUGUGUGUGUGUGUGUGUGUGUGUGUGUGUGUGUGUGUGUGUGUGUGUGUGUGUGUGUGUGUGUGUGUGUGUGUGUGUGUGUGUUAUAAUUUAUCAGUACAAAUGUGCCAGCUGGUGUUUUCUCCACAACAACACAGUGAUGAUUCUGAAACAGAACAGGUCAUUCCAUCGAAAACCAACCAGAAACAUCUGCUUCUUCAUCUCCAGUAACUUCAUCAAUGAUCAGAGUUCUACCAGAACCUCCUCAGAACAUCUGGUUCUUCAUCUGCAGUAACUUUAUCAAUGAUCAGAGUUCUACCUUCAUCCUGAGAAUAUUUCCAGAGUUCCAGGUCCUUGAAGUCCAUAGAGGAGAACGUCCCCUGGAGAAAGUUGUAGAGUAGACCUACCCACAACUGUCCAGUUGUCGGUAGGUCUACUCUAGAACUUUCUCCAGUUGUCGGUAGGUCUACUCUAGAACUUUCUCCAGUUGUCGGUAGGUCUACUCUAGAACUUUCUCCAGUUGUCGGUAGGUCUACUCUAGAACUUUCUACAGUUGUCGGUAGGUCUACUCUAGAACUUUCUCCAGUUGUCGGUAGGUCUACUCUAGAACUUUCUCCAGGGGACGUUCUCCUUUCCUGCUUCCAGUCUUUAAGUCUAGUCUCACUUUGAACAUUCCAG
ensembl:lncRNA